GUCCAGCUGUGGCCUGUCUCAGCCUGGAAGGACCCAGAGGCGGUUGUCCGAGUGCAGGCUCGCAUAGACCAUGGGAGGGAAGGUCUCAGGGAGGAGAGGACCUGGUUGGUCCGAGACGUCAAGUCAUCCAGGGAGCCACAUCUGGUGACCAGAGAGGAGUCCAGGUCCUGCCAAGAGUCCAGGUGUCACCAUGUCUCUGGGUCAGAAGAGUGAGCCCUUGAAGCUCGAGGAAGACGUUCAGGGGCCCAGUGAGGCUCAUGGCCUGCAGGAUGGCCCUGUCCUAACGCUGCCCGGGGCUGGGAAGACGAAGAGGUGGCCUCCUUCGUGUCUGCCUCUGCCUUCCACUGCCACCCUGUCCAGGAUAAUCCAGAGCAGGCUGCUCUUGUGACGCCCAGUGCUUCCCAGGUCCCUUGCCGUGUCAGCCGCCCCUCCAGGGCCUGUCUUGCCUCUCUGUGCAACAUAACCCCGGAGGAGGACAUUACCCAACAAGCAGAGGGGCCAGGCAGCUCCCAGGAGUCAGCAGAAGCCCGGCCCCCCGCACUCCCCCCAACGCAGCACUGCAGGAGAAGUUGGCUGAGCUGGUGUGGUUCUUGCUCCAGUAGAGCAGCAAGGAGCCGACCAGCCAGAGGGAAAUGCUGAGGGAAGUCCUUGGUAAGGGCCAGGAGCACUUCCCUGUGCUCUUCAGCCAAGCCUGCGAGUGCCUGCAGAGGGUCUUCGGCAUCGAUGUGACCGAAGCAGAGCCCAGUGGCGACACCCAUGUCCUGGCCACCCCCCUGGGCCUCUCCUACGAUGGGCUGCUGAGCCCUGAGCAGCUCAUACCUAAGACAGGCCUGCUGGUGUUUGUCUUGGGCGAGACCCUCCUGGAGGACAGAGGUGCCUCCGAGGAGAGUAUCUGGCGAGUGCUAGGGGGGAUGGGGGUGUGUGCUGAG